rnacentral:rRNA from 1 species
GAUGAACGCUGGCGGCGUGCCUAAUACAUGCAAGUCGAGCGAAUGGAUUAAGAGCUUGCUCUUAUGAAGUUAGCGGCGGACGGGUGAGUAACACGUGGGUAACCUGCCCAUAAGACUGGGAUAACUCCGGGAAACCGGGGCUAAUACCGGAUAACAUUUUGAACCGCAUGGUUCGAAAUUGAAAGGCGGCUUCGGCUGUCACUUAUGGAUGGACCCGCGUCGCAUUAGCUAGUUGGCGAGGUAACGGCUCACCAAGGCAACGAUGCGUAGCCGACCUGAGAGGGUGAUCGGCAACACUGGGACUGGGACACGGCCCAGACUCCUACGGGAGGCAGCAGUAGGGAAUCUUCCGCAAUGGACGAAAGUCUGACGGAGCAACGCCGCGUGAGCGAUGAAGGCUUUCGGGUCGUAAAACUCUGUUGUUAGGGAAGAACAAGUGCUAGUUGAAUAAGCUGGCACCUUGACGGUACCUAACCAGAAAGCCACGGCUAACUACGUGCCAGCAGCCGCGGUAA